rnacentral:misc_RNA from 1 species
CACGUAGGAUCCAAGCGUUAUCCGGAUUUACUGGGCGUAAAGCGCGUGCAGGUGGUUUGGAAAGUUGGGUGUUAAAGCUCUCGGCUCAACCGGGAGUUGUCGCUCAAAACUAGCAGACUAGAGGAUGGUAGAGGGAGGUGGAAUUCCGGGUGUAGUGGUGAAAUGUGUAGAGAUCCGGAGGAACACCUGUGGCGAAGGCGGGCUCCUGGCCCUUUCCUGACACUCAGACGCGAAAGCUAGGGUAGCAAACGGG